rnacentral:miRNA from 1 species
UGACAGUGAGCGACUGUAAACAUCCUCGACUGGAAGCUGUGAGGCCACAGAGGGGCUUUCAGUCGGAUGUUUGCAGCUGCCUACUGCCCCAGACUUCAAGGAGCUGCUUUAGGGGCU